GUAGAGCAGCUCUCCUUUGGCUCCUGUUUCACAGCCAGUGGAUGUGCAUUUAGGGUCUAAGUUUCAGAGCUGGGAUCAGUCACAGAUGUAGUUCACAGCAGGGGUGCCCCAUCCCUGAAAACUAAGCCCUUGGCAGCUGAGCCUGACGUACCUGGGGUUUGCUGGUGACUGCAACGAGUCUUGGAUGUGAAUCCCUCUAAGCUAAAUUAAAAAGAUGAGCUUAACUGAGAACUGCCUCUGUUUGGUAACCUCAGCAUUGGAGCAUGGAGUCAUCAUGGCAGGACCCUCCUGGAAGUUAAAGGACAGGAAGAUUAAUCUAACUUCUGGGACACAGAGACAAGAGCUAGAUGUUAUUCCUAGCAGCCAAGGAUGAAAUAUCAGGAGCUGUCAACAGAUGAACAGAGCUUGAAGAGAUGAUGGAAGGCCUGUGGUCAGAUAUGGGCUUUUAAUGAUGGGCAGCCUAGGCAGAACGAUAUGAACUGGUUCUGCACUUCUGAGAUGGCUGGAAAGCUGCCAGAGACCUUGGAGACGUUAGGACACCGCUGGAAUGAAUUUGCGUGCAUACUUUGCUUUGUCAAACACAAGGAUGUAAAAAUACUGUAUUCCACCUGAAAGCUGCCUUGUUGCAGAGUCACAUCCAGCAUCAUUGCAAGCAUCUUUAGAUUGUGAAGAAGUGAAGCCUGUAGCAAGGAAGCAAUUGUUAAGGGAGUUAACUGAUGUUAUUGAAUAGGAUCUGCAUUUGUGGAACAGAAUUAGGAGGCGCUUUCUUUACAUAAAAUAAGAGGAGCCAUUCACAGGAGACUGCAUACAGAGCACAAGCAAGCUAGGUUGGGAGUUCAUGGUAAUACUAAAUACCUUGCAGUGCAUGAGCUAUUUUUCACCAGGGAGACCAGAAGCCCUGAUCAGUAUUAAGAGCCUGUUGUCCUAUCGCAAAUACAGAGCAAACACAGAUAACAGGUAGCCAGCCCUGGAAAAUGUUUGUUUAUUCUGAUACAAUGGCAGAUUUACGCAUAAUUUGUGGACCUGCACUUAAUCAAAUCACAUGAACAUGUAGGCAAACACGUGCGGCCAUGCUUGUGUCUUUCAUCAAAUGUGAUUGAUAAAGAAAAGAAUUAGUGUAAGGAGUUGCAUUGUUGGAGGGCAUCGUUGUAAGCCAAACCUCUAUCGUCCCAGCGAGCGGAGUUCCAGUAAUUGCAUUUUAAGGAGUAAUAAUUGACAUUUCAGGUACAAGAAGAGAAGAGCCUGGCUCAAUUGUAGAGUAUAUACCUCUCGAGAAUGACACAGGAAUGUCAUGAAUACGAAGACAGCAAAUUUUUGGCAUCUUUUACCUUUCAGGGGACAGCAGAUCAGCACACAGCCUUCACAAUGUUCUCCGUCUGUGAUGAUUUCGUUCUUUUAUUUACAGUCUUCCAUGGUGAUGGAGCCCACAAACUAUGUUCCACAAACUCCGUUCCACAUUCUUUGACUCCACCUAUGGGCAGCGUGGAUGGUGAAUGCUGGCUGAUGGCACCCUCACCCAAUUGCAGGAAGCCUGCUGCUCAGCAGCUUGAGUGGUCCCAGAAGAGCUGGAGGAACACUCAGUGCAGCAGUCCUGACAUGAAUUGUCCAAAACGGCUAACUUGCCUGAGUAUAAUGACUUCAGCUAGAGUUGUAUUUAUCAGCCAGCUCCAGCCUUCAAGGACUUGGUUCUAAAAGAACCCUGAAUUGAUUAGUUACCCACCUAAACAGGUUUUACAUUCCAGAUGAGCUCCUUUAUUCAAAUGACAGAGGGCCAUUAUGUUGCUAGAAUGAUUACCAUGUCCUCCAUAUAUGGCUCCAAGUGAAUCAGUGAUCACUUUUAUAAGAAAAUUUGCUCCUACAAACUCCUCUGAUUUAAUGCUGCGGUCAUGGAUCCAGAUUGAGUUACAUUCCUACGCCUACCUGAAGAUAAGUGGACUUCCAGCCUCACCACCAGACACGUUCAUAUU